UGACAGCUACACGGAGCCAGUCAAUACCUCCCAGCGAGAGGGAACGUUUCCUCCCUACCUUCUGCUAUUGACCGUGGGUGGGUCUCUGACGCUAAUUAGAGACACAGAAAUCCUCAAAGUAUUAACCACAAAUAGCACUCUUGAAGGCACUUGUCCUUUUUUUUUUUGACUUAAGAGUGUUUAUUUCCCUUAUUUUUCUUUCAAAGUAAAGAAGCCCCUACUUGAUCCGAGAGACACUCUGCGCCCCAGGUAGAUAUAUACAGGGUGUACGUUUUGGGAAGACGACGCCUCUCUCCUACCCUGCACUCCUCAGGCCGGCCGAAAAUACAGGCGUUCCCCAAAAUAGUAUGUCCUUUCUGUCGGAGACACGCCACCUGAACGCGAAAUCAAACCUACUCACCGGGUGAAAUCGCGGGAGGCGAAGCGGCUGCGGGCAAAACGCAUCCCGGCUCCGAGCACAUAGUCCAUGUUCUGCGGCUUCAGACCAGAGCAGGGCUGAGCAGGGCGGGGGGACUUGGGGAACCGGCAGCAGUUCUGUGUGUGAAACAACCCAUUUGCACCGUGCGUGCCUGUCUGUGUGUGUGUGUAGGGCAGAGAGAGGCUCCAGACCCAAAACGGGGAAAGGAGGGGAGGAGGGAGGGAGGAGAGAGAAGGAGGAGGAGGAGGAGAGAGGGAAGCAAACCCGAAUAGCGAGAGGAGUUGCGGAGAGGAAUGGGAUUUGCUGGGGUUGAGGUGGGUUUUUUUUUUUUGGUGGUGAUGGAAGCGGUUCUCGAGGAAAGAAUAAUAAACUGCGGGAUCUCAGCAGCAGGCAGGAUGGAGAGGGGCUUUGCCCAGGCAGGCUCUCUGUAUGGAAAUCACGAGCUGGCUCGGUGGAAAAAUCUCCCUUUUCUUCGCAUAGUGCCUCUGGAAUGUGUGCGGAAUCUCAAGGUGUGUGGGGGAGAGGGAGGCUUUAUGGAGCUUGGUGUGUGUCCCCCCCUACCUCUAGUCCCUCUCCUCCAUCCGUGCUGUGAGCAGACACGCGUUCGUGGCUAAUAAAAACGCUUUUCCCUGUGUAUAAUUGGGCUUGAGAGCUAAACCGAAAGCCAGUCCGUGUCCGGGAACAGCCUGCAGAUCAGCCGGGAGCUUUGGCAUCCCCGCAGCGUAGCCUGGCUGUGUUCUCCUCAUGCUUCCCGGGAUCAGUAAGCACACUAACCAUACCGAUUAUGUGAUGUAUACGUUGGGCAGCACGGAGUGACCGCAGCAUUACACCAGCACUUGUCUGCUGUGCUACCUGUGGUCUUCAGAAAGAGAUGGUCAUUUCCGUGGAGCUUUUUGAUCAAGAAAGUUUUUGUCUUCUCUCCAUUACCUCUGUAAGCACCAGUUCACGGCCGUUUGCCAGUCUGGGCAGUUUUAUGUUUCCAGAAUCUGCCGUGAAAUAUUCGGAAACCACAGAAACCCAGGAUUCCUCUGGCAUCACGUUGGUUUGUUCCUGUCAGCAGGUUUAAUCAUUUUUAUGCUAAAUGAGCUGAUCUUAGUAGUGAUUUGCCCUGCUUGGGGUUUUAUUGACUUUUUCAUUAGCAAGGAGGUGAGAAAAGGAUUGAAGGAAGGACGUUACAGUUUGUGAAAAAAAAAGCAGUGUCCAUUUCAAUUGUAGUAGCUGUUAAAUAUGUAGGCACAUGUAUGCUGCCUUAUGCAGUUAUAAAAAUGAAAGACAUGCCAUCUUGCCUCUUUGCCUCAGAAUAUGAUUUCUCUCACAGCAACAAGUCGCACAGGCUCUUCUUUCCCCUUUUCUCCUCCCCUUCAGCCCCUCCUGACAAAAUGCCAGUUAUAAAGGUCAGCCUGUUUAUGUAAAGACUGUGUGUUUCUUAACAAAGACCGCUGCACAUCAAGCCUGCAAUGACUGUCAAAUAGACUUGGGAUUCAAGACACUCAAUAAGAGCACUGUCCAUUUUCUAGGACUGAUAAAAUCCCAGGCAAAACAGAAGACAAAGAGCUGCAGUGUGUGGCUGGGGUAGGUCACCAGCACCAGGGUGCACACGGGGAGAAGUGUCUUCAUAGCAGUGUUUGGUGCUGCAGGUGUUGGCAAGAUCCAUUGGGGCUGUGCUUCGUCCUCUCUCUAAUGAUGUCCUUAGGCUGAACUUGCUUUGCAGCUCCUUCACACCAAAGGCAGCUUAAAUCAGCCAAGGAGAAUUUUGAGUCUGACCAACCCCACCCUCCCAAUAGAAGAGAAGAAGGAGAUUGACUUCAUUAGUCUUUGGCUUCACAAUGAGGUGUUUUCAUUUCAUAGCAUCCAGUCUAAUCUUUAUUUCACUGUGCUCUCUUUCCCUCCCUGCCACGUUCUUUCACCCGAAGAGCAGUACAACUUGGUUUCCUCAACCAGUAUAACCUCUGCUGGUCCUUUUCCACUUUAAAUCUAAUAAGAAUAUUCUGAUAUUAUUCACUUCCUAGAAUUAUAGAAUCACAGAAUGGUUUGGUUAGAAGGGACAUUGAAGAUCAUCUCGUUCCAACCCCCCUAACACAAGCAGGGACACCUUCCACUAGACCAGGUUGGUUAAAAAAAGUUACUUUAUCAUUACAACACAGAUCUGCAACAGUGGUCAACUCCAAGACCUAAUUGUGGCCACAGUUCACUUUGGCUCUUAAAAAUCACCCUGAAGCAGAGUUAAAGGGUCGUAGAGGACUAUGAUGCUUUUUUGUUCAAUGAUGUUAAUAAUCUAUGGCCUUAGAACAUGAUAUCACAAAGUCUCAUCCUAGGGCAGAAUA